UGGGGGAUAUUGCGCAAUGGGGGCAACCCUGACGCAGCAACGCCGCGUGAAGGAUGAAGGUUUUCGGAUUGUAAACUUCUUUUAUUAAGGACGAAACUUGACGGUACUUAAUGAAUAAGCUCCGGCUAACUACGUGCCAGCAGCCGCGGUAAUACGUAGGGAGCAAGCGUUGUCCGGAUUUACUGGGUGUAAAGGGUGCGUAGGCGGCUUUGCAAGUCAGAUGUGAAAUCUAUGGGCUCAACCCAUAAACUGCAUUUGAGACUGUAGAGCUUGAGUGAAGUAGAGGCAGGCGGAAUUCCCCGUGUAGCGGUGAAAUGCGUAGAGAUGGGGAGGAACACCAGUGGCGAAGGCGGCCUGCUGGGCUUUAACUGACGCUGAGGCACGAAAGCGUGGGUAGCAAACA
rnacentral:rRNA from 1 species